GAGAGCGGCGAACGGGUGAGUAACACGUUGGUAUCUGCCCCCAAGUCAGGGAUAGCCAUUGGAAACGAUGAUUAAUACCGGAUAGUCUCUUCGGAGUAAAAAUUUAUUGCUUGGGGAGGAACCUGCGGUCUAUCAGCUAGUUGGUGAGGUAAUAGCUCACCAAGGCUAUGACGGAUACCUGGUCUGAGAGGAUGAUCAGGCACAAUGGAACUGAGACACGGUCCAUACUCC
rnacentral:rRNA from 1 species